GACACUGGCCCGCGGUUCAUGAACAGUCUGCAUUUCAGACCUUUCCUCUGUUUUUAUUUUACAUCGUCGCUAGUGCCACGUCUUCAAAUUUACUGGCUUUUUCCUUCUGCACCGUCUCAUCUGCCAUGGAGCCUGCCCACUACACCUCUCAACUCCAGUGCUGCAGCUUUCCACUCCUGAAGUUUGGUUUGGGAAUUUUUAUGCCUUCCAUUCUCAGCCUCCCCUCUGACUCCCUGAAUGCGGGAAGAUUGUCGUAGUUGUACUCUCCUGCUUCUUUGAAUGCUGCUAAUUUCUGAUCAGAUGCUAGACAUUGUGAGUUCUGCCUCAUUCUCUUGAGCUUUGGAAGGUGUUGAUCUUGAGCUUUGGAAGGUGUUGAUCUGGAGCUUUGGAAGGUGUUGAUCUUGAGCUUUGGAAGAUGUUGAUCCUUUUGGGUCAUCCUUGCUUUUUGGCUUCAUCAGGUGGGACCUGAGCAGUGUUUAGUCUCCAACUAAUUUUUCACACUGUGAAGACAAAGCCCUUCUCAGGACACUGCCUGGUGCCUUGCGAGUGUUUCCACUGUGGACAGCGGGAUGAGGGCUACUCCCGGCUCUGAGUGAGACCCCAUGUUGCUCCCCGAAGCCUCUUGGGCUGGUCAACCCUUGACUGAAGACUCGGGGCUCCCCUUGCAGAUCCCAGAGCCCUCCCUCCGGGCAGCUCUCCUCGCUGGAGAUCCAGCCUGAGACCUCCAGCCUCUGUUUCCUCCUUGGACUUGGCUCCUUCUCCUCAGCCCUGCCUGGGGCCUCUCCCUGCACUGGGGCUGGAACCCACGCCCGCCGUGCACUGGGCCCCACCUUGUUUGCCCGCCCUCCUCAGGGACCACGGUCUCUCGGUGCCUGGUGUCUGAUGCCUAACACAGGUUUCAGAUAUUCUGUCCAUUUUUUAACUUGUUUUCAUGGAAGAGUAAAUCUGGUCCCUGUUAGUCCUUCUUGGCUGAAAGCGUAAGUUCUGAUGCUGAUGUCUCAGAGCUUCCUUGGCCAAAUUUGAGUCAGUGCAGUAGUCAAUCUUCCAUUGUCCCUGCAUUUUACACCAUACAACAAUAAUGCUAUUCAAAUAAAAACUGCGUGUCUAGCCAAGAGAGAGGCUUGUGAUCACCAGCUCUGCCUCAGGGCCUCCUGUAACUUUAAUCGGAAGGGAAAGCACCAGAGG
ensembl:lncRNA LINC03101 long intergenic non-protein coding RNA 3101